GUGACACCUGAGUGCCCACUGCCGCUGACCCGACGUUGAGCCAGGCCCGGCCCCUGUGCUUUGCAUGGACACCCACUUUCCAGUGCGGAAUCCCAGGCCCACACUGGCUGGGCCGCUCCCCAAGUCACACAGGAGCAGGGACUCGCGCCAGGCUCCACCCGGGCCAGAUGGCCCCCUGGUAGGAGCGAGGCUGGAGCAGUGUCUGAGAGGAGAAGGCUGGAAGCCCUGCUGCAGGGAGCCCUGAGGCUGCAGGAGGUUUUAAUUUGGACCCACGGGCAAGCGAGACGUCCGAGCUGUUGCGUGAAGUCACUGCUUGGACUGCACUCAUCCUGUCCCAGGUUUUCAGCAGCAGCGUUCUCUAAGCACAGCCUCUCCACGUGAGGUCUUCCUUCGAGCUGUGGUCAGUACUAAGAAAGGACUGUGACGUGGCCAGCCCUUCCGGAACCUACCUUUCACUCAUGGUCAUAAAGGAAAAUAGAAUACCCAGCAUAUUUCAAUGCAGAAGGAAAAAAAUUGUUUUCUAGAAAAGUCUAUGUUACAGGCCGAGCAGAGAUAAGAAAAUAGCAAAGAAGCCCAUCCUUCACAAGACCAAGCUAAGGCUAAAAAUUGUAGAACAACCAAGAAUGGAAAGGUGGAAGUUGGUGCCAAGGCCCAGGGCCAGGAAGAAGGGAAUGUGUGUGCCAGGCCCUGCUUUAACUCUCCUGGCAGGAGGCUGUGAAGGACAGUCCUUAGCCUGCCCAGACCUGUACCCAGUGUCUUGCAAGAGACUGGUAUGGGAUUAUUCCUGAAGACAAGUGUGUUGAGCCAGUCAGUAGGUGGUGACAGCCAGCACAGUGAUGAGAACAUGUAGAAAUUUUGGUGUGAGGGAAGCAGGAACAAUCCAAGGCUGUGAUAACAGGAAACUUACCUGGUU